rnacentral:rRNA from 1 species
CGGCGAGUGAAGCGGCAACAGCUCAAAUUUGAAAUCUGGCCCUUUCAGGGUCCGAGUUGUAAUUUGUAGAGGAUGUUUCGGGUGUGGCUCCGGUCUAAGUUCCUUGGAACAGGACGUCAUAGAGGGUGAGAAUCCCGUAUGUGACUGGUAGCCUAUGCUCAUGUGAAACUCCUUCGACGAGUCGAGUUGUUUGGGAAUGCAGCUCAAAAUGGGUGGUAAAUUUCAUCUAAAGCUAAAUAUUGGCCAGAGACCGAUAGCGCACAAGUAGAGUGAUCGAAAGAUGAAAAGCACUUUGGAAAGAGAGUUAAACAGUACGUGAAAUUGUUGAAAGGGAAGCGCUUGCAACCAGACUUGCAUGUGGCUGAUCAACCGGUGUUCUCACCGGUGCACUCAGUCACGUUCAGGCCAGCAUCGGUUUCGACGGUUGGAUAAAGGCCUUGGGAAUGUAGCUCCUCUCGGGGAGUGUUAUAGCCCAGGGUGCAAUGCAGCCUGUUGGGACCGAGGACCGCGCUUCGGCUAGGAUGCUGGCGUAAUGGUUGUAAGCGACCCGUCUUGAAACACGGACC